AAGAAAAGAAUGAAAUUCUGCUCUUUUCCCCUUGGGGGCCCAGUGUGCAAUGGCUGCAAAUAGCAACCACCUCGGUAGUGUACGUAGCCUAUUGCCUGUAUGGGUUGCCCUAACGGACCUUGGAGACAGCC